GCCUUCGUAGCUCAGCAGGCCAGAGCACCCCUCUCGUAAAGGGGAGGCCGCCGGUUCGACCCCGGCCGAAGGCUCCA
rnacentral:tRNA from 1 species